UUGGUGCCUUUUGCCAUCACCACCUGCAGCCUCUGUAACUGGGACCAGACUUUCAGCCGGCCAGCCAGAAGGGGAGGAGUUUGCUCAAAGCUGUUGGAAUCAGCAGAUAUGCAAAAUGACUGUAAGAUAAAACAGCACGGGGCGCAUUUCUCCACGAAGUGGAAGAAGGGAUCUGAUUUCCACUCCAGCUUUGCACAGGAAUUAGAGAAUCCUACCAGCAGAAGCACUUCAAAAUGCCAGCCUCUUCAGAGCUAUACCACAGUACCUGGUCUCUGCAAGCGGGGUGUGUGCAGUGUUGGUACUGUGGUAGCUCUUAGCAGAAGGAGGCUGUGCAAUACUUCCUCAGAAGGCCUGGUAUGAUGUUCACAUUCAUCUUGCUGCAGUGGCUGACCUCAAGCCAAUUACCCAAGGUCUGUGAAACAUGUAAAGUGAUGUCAAAUGAACUACCCUGCACUUGGUGGGAAUGUAGAACAGUCUUUACCUUCCUGAGUGAGGAUACAGUGACAUGCUUCAUAGCUAAAAUCACGUAGAGAAACAGUUUGGCUCCAGGGAAAGGAACACAGGUAAGAGGUGCCACAAAUGUCCCUUUGUGCUGGGUUACUUCAGGAAAAUGCCUUCUUGGUAUUCUCUUUAUUGGCUUUCCACCAAAUCCUACCGACAUACCAGAGCAAUGGCCUAUCAGAUACAGAGAAUUAAGCAGUAAACUGUUCAUUAAUUAAUUAAUUCAUUCAUUCAUUCAUUCACUCAUUUAUCAGAAGUACACUGAACACCUACUAUGUGCCAGGCCUGCUGCUGGGUGCCAUGCUGACUUUAACACUGAGUAAGCCCCACUUACUCAGGAACCAGACUGUUCUUGGUGUUGAAUGAUAAGAAUCCCCCUUGCUAAUCUCCUAAUGCUAAGCGUAUGAACUUAGAUGUCUUACCAGCAUCUUUUCCACCGUGCUGAAGAAGUAUACAUUUGUUAGAUCUUUGCAUUCAGCUUAUGACCCUAAUUUUAUGCACAAGCAUCUAGCUUUGUAGAUGUCCUUAGUCUGGGUGCCUUGAAAGAUGCUAAGUACCUCAAAAUGAGCUUGCUUAUUUCAUUUUGAUGUUCCUCUCCACAGUAUAAUAACUAUUUGUUAAUAUGGAAUAUAGCUUCACCUACAUGAAGAUAAAGCUUGUCAUUUAAAUAGGUUGGUGCUAUUGUCCUAUUUAUUUGGUGCUCUUCUUUAUGAUUUUGUCCCUUAGAGUUAACAGCAUCUUUUUUUUUUUUUCCUAUCAAGCUGUGGUGCUCAAAGCUGUGCAUUUAAUUUUGAAGAAUAGUUAAUGAAACGUACUCAUGUUGGUAUGCAACAUCUCAGAAAAGCAUGUGUUUUGAACCUUAAGUAGAAUACUCCUAGAACAAAGUGCAGCCACAAGAGAACGUUUACAUGCUCUGCAAGGCAACUCUUCCAAAGGCACAGUUUAUAAGCCCUAGGUGGGCUUUCUGUAGGCUGGACCUGGUUCAUGUGUCUUUAUAAAUAUGGAAUAUUGCAAUUGCUUAUGACAGGGACUUCACCCUGGGUGGAUUCGCUGGAGAGCUUCACAGCCCUCAAGGGAAAUAACAGUAGAAAGUAGGUCAUUUUGAUGCCGCCGUCUUUAGCAACUCCUCGAGAUGCCAAGUUACAAAUCUCCAAUUGCAACUAGCUUUUGUGUAUAGAACUUGACAGUUUACCAGCCACUUUCUCUUGCAUGCCUCAUUUUUUCCUUGAAAAAUAAACCCCAUGGGACAGAAUAACAAUGAUGAUGUGUAGUUUCCGUGAUGCACAUGAGAGGACUGAGGCUUGUCCCACAGUUCACUCCAAGCAUUGAGACGGGAGCGGGGUGGUGUGGGGGAAGGAGGGGUAGAGGGAGGAGAUGGAGAACGUGAACUUCAGUUCUUUACCUCAAAGGUCUGUGAUUUUAUUUUUAAUAAGCCACAAGCCCUGUUAUAAACACAGGGUCACCAUCAAAGUUCCUUGGAGGCACACAGAGAAAGAAAAGCUAGGUCCCUGCUAUGCCAGUUGGUAGCUCUGCCCUCCUUGGUUCUUUUCCCACCCCCUUUACAGCCACUAUCCUAACUGACAAAUCUGCUCUUGGGGUGAGUCUGACUGGGGCAUUUGAUUGCUAAUGAACAUUUGUAUUUGUCCAAUCAACAAACACACAAACAAACAUGUACUUCUGAAGUUAAAGGACAAUAAACUAGCUGGAACAUUGAUCUUGGGUUUCAGCCUCCUAAAUUGGGAGAAAUAAAAGGAACUUAAUCAUUGGUAAUGGUUUAUAACUUGGUCCUUGGAGCUAUGGUCUAGACUCCUCUCUUACAAUUAACCUUAGAGAAAUUUCUUGAGCUCUGUAUGCCCAUUUGGUUUCCUCUCCUACACAAUAAGAACAAUAGCAUCUGUUUACCUGAUGAAUCUUAAUUACGUGCAGUAGAACUGAGAGCUAGGACAUUUCGGACUUAAAUAUGUUAUAUAUGUAAAGCCCUCCUGAAUAGGAUUGGUGACUUCACUAAAGGGCUGAAGGAACCUAGGUCUUCUGUUCCUGCUUCCCCGGGGAGGACACUUUUGUCGACCCUUGAAGAGGACUUCGUUGCUAUAAGAUGUUAUAUUAAAGCAGAGAAUAGCUCUUCCUAGACAGUAAACUAGCUGGGACAUUGAUCUUGGGCUUCAGUUUCCUAAAUUGGGAGAGAUAAAAGUCUAAUACCCAGUUCAAAUAUUUGGUUCUAGCAAUUGGUACAAACUAACAUGUCUUCACUUUUUAAUUGCAGCUGCUUUGCAAGGGAUGGUGGUGGCUAGCACUGUGGAGCAGUAUUGGUGGUGGAGAGAGAUAAGUGGAUUUGAGACAUCUAAGAGGGCAACCCUCCUGAUCUCCAGUGUGGCGGUGUUUGGUUGAUAUUUAAAAUGCAGCAUCUCUGCAGAUUUUCAGGUCCAGAAACAUGACUUUUAUCAAAAUGUUCUGGGUUCCUUCAACUUAAAACUAGUUCUAAGCAUAAGAAUCUAAUGACAAGUCAGAGGCUAAUGCAUUAAUAUAUGUAGAAAAAAAUCAUUUUAUGAAAGGCUUUUAAUACCUUCCUAGUCAUCUCGUCUCCAAAUCAUAUUCAUAAGAUCACUUGGUAAGCAUAAAACUGACAGAGCAGAUAGGCAAGUGCUUUGAAAGACUUCUUUCUUCAAGCUUGAUGUCUCCAGCCUUAUUGCUAAAAGAUGCUGUAGUUGUCUAGGCCCCAGCUUUUGCACCCACCUGCAGUGGCUUUCCCACCCUUGUCCACCUGGCCAGUGCAUAGUUAUCUUUUUGAGAUUUGGCCUGAAGCCAUCUCUUCAUGAUUUUCUAAGCAUUCUAGGUUGAAUUGAAGUCCCUUCCUUUAAACUCUCACAAUUCAUGCUGGCCACUGUUCUCAACUGGCUAUAUUUUACUCAAUGUUUCUUCUCAUAUCAUCCUUCUAGAUGCUAACUCUUUAAGAGAGGAGGACAUUGGUGGACUUGUUGACAUGACCCAAAUAAGAAAAUAUUAGGCUACCCAUUACUAAAGGGAGAGGGACCUUUGCUAAUGAGUAGUAUUGAAGACACAGCAUUAAUAAUUCUUCCUUGUUUCCCUCCCCUCUUUUUUUUUUUUUUAAAUAAAACUAAUCUACAAAUAAGCUGUGUUCUUCCUCAGUGAUUUAUUCAAUGGUACAAAAAGUGAUGCGCUCUGGGUUUCUUUCACGUUCUUGCCUAGGUUUCUAGAAGUGGCUAGGUUAAAACUGAGGGGCACUCUGUCUGUCCAUAGAACUUCUACUAAAUCACUUGGAGAUUUUUUAACUCUCUCAAACAGUUAUGUUCAGUAAAUUAUUUGUAAAUUUCCAUGCGCCAAAUGUUACUAGAAUCCCAAGUGGCAUUUUUAAUUGUCUUAAAAAAAAAAAAAAAAAAGAUGUGAGCAAAAUUCAGAAGGAGGAGCAGAGUUAGAGCUCAGGGACCAAGACAGCAAGGUGGGGGAUAUAUUUGAAGAUGGUGAAGAAUGGGUGGGAUUUGGAAAGCCAGAACAAUGAACCAAGGAAGGGAGCACAGGAAGAAGGGUCUGGCGUCAGAAUUGAGCCACACCACCAUGUCCCAUUUGGAGCAGCAGAGAGGCCAGCGUUCCUUCACUACAACAAUUGGCUUUGUCCGAAGUUGGACAAAGCUGCGGGGGUGAUAUAGUGGCAGAUGGAGCUCGCCCAGGAGAAUGUUUUAUGCUAGACCAAGGAAUGUGCGUUUACUUGGCAGGCAAUGUGGAGCCAUUGAAAAGUGUGCAACAAAAAGAAUGGUGUGUGAACGUGUUUUAUAAAUCUCUUAAUCCACUUUAUAGCUGCCUAGUGCUUUGCUGUUAUGGAUUACUGUCCAUGCGUCAUCUUUUUAAUCCUCAUCACACCUUAGCAGAGCGCUUGAGUUGUCCCUGUAUCAUAAAGAAAGAGACUAAAGCUUGGACGGUUUCAGUGUUUCACCAUACAUCCCAUAAACAGUAAGCAUCGAACCCAGAGGCUUAAUUCUAGGCUGUCUGGCUCCAAAGUGUUCUGGGUUUCUAUAUGUAAUGCCCCGAUAAGAGGAGGAGUUGUUGCCUUGACUCUAGCAGCUUGUAAGAGUUAUGCAACACAACAAAGGAUAUAUAUGAGGUAGACCGUUAUCGGAGAUUACUGUUUUAAGCAAAAGACAGGUGCUUAAGAAAUACCGUAGCCUGAUAUUAGGGUGUUCAAUAUGGAGUGUGAAGGUUAUUUAUAUCUUAAUUUUAGCUUUAUUUUUGUUUUUAAAAAGAUUUAUUUUAUUCUUAAGUGUGUGUGUGUGUGUGUGUGUGUGUGUGUGUGUACUUACACACUUGUGUGCACUUUAGAGUGCAGAAGAGGGUAUGUGACACCGUGGAGCUGGGGUUACAAGUGUUUGUGAGCCUCCCGUUAUGGGUGCUGGGAACCAAACUGCACACCUAACCGUACAUGCUCUUACCCCUGAGCCAUCUCUCCAGGCCCCAGACUUUAUUUUUAGAAGAAAAGAAAUAUCAAGGGACAAUAGAUAGAAGAAGCCGGAUGUGCCUUGUUGAGUUCAAAGGUGGUUAAUGGAGAGGAAACUAGUAGUUUUCUGAUCUCACAGAACAUUAUUGACUAAAAUCUUUCAUCUGGCUCUAGGCAAGAGUCUGUACACAGAGCUAUCUUGGGUGACUUUAGGCAGGUCACCUGAGAAUGGCUUUGCAUUUGUCCAUCCAUGUACUGCAAAGGAGAGAAAUGUUCUCAUACUGUUUAGAAUCUGGGAUUCCUGUGCCAUCCAGUAUACGCUAGCAGCCAUGGGUAGCUACUGGGUUACUGAAAUGCGGCCAGUCUGAUGUAAGACAUGCUGGAGAUAUAACAUUUCAUUUUUGUACAAAAAAAUUAAAGACUGUAGCUGGUUAUAUUUCAUCACAGGGUGAAACAAUAGUAUUUUAGAUAUGACAAGUUAAAUGUUAAAAUUAAUUGUUUCUGAAAGCUUGAGAGAUGGUUCAGUGCUCAAGAACACUUGACAUUCUUGCAGAAUACCUAGGCUACGUUGCUAGCACCCACAUGGUGUCUCACAAACUGUAACUUCAACUCCAGGGGAUCUAAAACCCCACUUUGACCUCCUAGAGUGCCAGGGAUACAAAUGAUACACGAACAGACAUCCAGGAAAACACUCAUAUACAUAAAGUUAAAAUACUAUUGGGUUAUACUGUUCUAGAGCCUAAGACUGUAGCUAAAACCAGAAUACUCCAAGGCCUACAUUCAUCCCACCAUAAAUGCUUCAAAGUAGUGCUAAUAACAGUAAGGAUUGUAGCUAACAACAGUCAGUCAGUUCCUAGGCACUUUAUAUCCACUAGCCAAUUUACUAUUUAUCAUAAUUUGAUGGGCUAGAUAUUACCAUAGACCUAUGUAACCGAUAAUUUUAUUUUAUAGACAAGAAACAGGGAAAUUCAGUAACUUUCUCAAGGUCACAGUCAGAGCAGAGCUGCACUUUCACCUUCCUAGGACUGCCCCCGAGGAAUCAUGGAGGGUCUCAUGGCUCCGUGCUGGGCAAAUCCCAAGGAGAUCUUGUUUUUCCUAUCGCAAGUCAAGCAACGCUUGAGAAAUUGUACAUAUCAACUCAUCUAAUAUCUGUGACAACCCUAGUAAAUAGUAAUUAUCCAUCUUUCAUACUGAACAAACAAACUGUAGCUCAGAAAGGCGACAGAGUUUGUUCAGUAAGCACAGGCUGGAAUCCACUUUCUAGUCUAGCCUGAAUCCAGGGCUGGUGCUCAGCACUGUACCAGUUUAUGAAUUGCAUGACAGCCCCUUUGGGGUCAUUCUGAGGCUAAAUUCCAGUGAGUGACUCUUCUCUCAGACUGGCUUCUGUGUUUUCAAAAUUACUGUAAGACUCUCAUCUGAGCUGACCAUUCUAGACCAUUUUUCUGGCAGUUCUCUUGGUGGGGGGGCUAAUGAAAUUUAAUUCUAUUUUUUUAACAACAGAAAAGAAACUGGGCAUGGUAGCACACACCUUCAGUCCCAGCACCAAAGAGGCAGAGGCAGGUAGAUCUAUGUGAGUUAGUUCCAGUCUGAUAUACACAACAAGACCCAGACCAGUUAACAAUUCAUAGGGAGACCCUGUCUCAGAUAAGCCAAGCCAACCAAUCAACCAAAACCCCCACUCUUUGUGUCAAGUAGUUUCAGUAAGAGCUGGCUAUUCAUCUCCACCACAUCCCUGCCCUCAGAUCCCAUCAUCCACCCCAGCACGGGGUGUGUAAUGUUUCCAUUAGGCAGAGGUAAUCAUAGAUUUUAGAGAUAAAACAGUCGGUCCUCUUGAAGACUUCCUCAGCUAACAUCUAAGCACCUAGGAUUUGUGUCUAUGUGGGGGGUGGAGGUGGGGCUGAGGUGGUAGAUGCAAAGAAGGAACACCCAGCAGGAAAUUUGGACUCUCGAGGUGUUUAGGGGGGUGGAGGGGUGGGGGUGGGGGUGGGGAAUGGUAUUCUAGAUGAGCGUGUAGAACUCCCAGAUGCGAAUGUGGACAGGACAAGCCAAGCACAAACGGGAGUUUUGUAUGACUGAGUAUUGGGGAAAGGUUACCAGCAUGCCUUUCACAGCCUCUGUGCAUAGACAAACAGUUACUUUGUGACAAAUUCAGAACUUGCAAGGAGAUGUAAAAUUAGGGCCUAGGUCUCAUGGCAACCCAACUUGUCACAAUAGCAAACAAGAAUAGUUUGAGAGUCAGAGGAAGCCAAUGCUGGCUAUGUCACAGCUAGCUGGCUCUCCUUGGGCUACCUUCUCCUUAUUUAGCAGUGCUUCCUUCCGUUCCUGCCCUGAGUUCUCCCGGACCGUAAGCAACGUCACUUCACUGAACACAGCUCCAGACUUUAAGAAAAACAAAAUUUUGUAUCUCAGCAGUGGUUUUCCUGGCCUUUCUCCCUCCAAAGAAAUUUCGUUCUGGUUUUCCCAGUUGACUCUUCGAGUCUGUAGCUGUCAGCUGUGCCUGCUCCUUCUCUGUUUCCUCCGUUCUAAUGCAGGGUCUGCUGCAGAAUAAUGCCAGGUCUGUUCCAAUGUGAUUAAAGAUUUCAGUGUUUGCUUUAAACCAAUAUUUACCAGUAAAACCUAGCCAAUGUAAAUGUGCAGGCUAGGUAGAAAAUACGGGCUUAAAUCAAUCUCCCCGGAACACAGACAGACAGAUGGACAAGGACUUAGUGGGUAUUUUGGAUUUUGGCAGGCCACUUCUGCCAUUUUGGCCUUUUUUUAUUUUUUAUUUUUUUAUUUUUUAUUUUUUGGUCAGUUUCACACAUUUUGCAACUGAACACUGUUUUAAAACAGCCCUUAAAACAGAAAAAUCUAAAUAAUGCAAUGCUAAAUUGUUUAAAUGCAGUUUUUUCUCAUUGGCCAGUGUUAGUCAUUUUUUUUUUUCACGGUGUUUCUUCUGGCACUUGUCAAACACUGCCACAUUAUCUGAUUUAAAAGGCUCCCUUGAAUGAGGAACAAAUUGAGUUAUUUGACAUAGCAGUAAACUUAGAAUGCUAAUCAUUUUUUAAAUAGCUCAUACUCCAGUGUUACACACCCCACAGAAACAGUGGACAUUUUGAGGUUGAGUCAGCUUUUCUGAGUUACAGCUUCAUUCUUGCAAACUUUUACUGAAUUCAGUUUCUUCAUUGGCUGGAUUUCUUGACUGAAUGAGUUGUGGCUGCACUCUGAACGAUCUGUAAGUAGUUGUAGUGUCUAUUAGGAACUGCUUAGCUUAGCCAGUCAGCCAAACAUCAGCCCUAGAUGAUACUUUGUAGCCCAGAAGAUCACAGAAGGAUGAGAUGGAGGCAGCCCAGCCCAGCCCAGCCCUCUUCUUACACUGUGACUCUCAUGACUCCCAUACUGCACCUUUCCUUGGGGAGGGAAUAUGGAUUUGAGCUGGAGAUGAUUCAAUGACUCAUCAUCUGUAAGAAAGGCCACUGAAAUUGCUAGGGCCUUGAGGAGUGUCUAGUAGGUAGUAGGCACUUAAUGAACGCUUUCCUCAUGUACAGAUAGAUGCAAGGAGAUGCAUUAACAUAAUGCAAUUUGUAGAGCUGAGUAUAGGAUUUUUCUAGAUUUAUGGGCAAAAUCAAUGUCUAUGUCUACUGGUAAUGAAUCCAUUUGUGGCUUCCUCUAAUUCUAAAUGUUAAAAGCCUAUGCGCCAAAGACUGAGGUACUAUAAAAAGGGUGACAUUUAUAUAUAACCAUCAGCUGAGGUGGUAAUGUUUAUCCUCAAUGGAAAAAACCUGUAAAACAAUGUGCUAAGGUAGAUUUAUUGUCAUUAUUUUGUGAAUGACAGGUAGGUGGACAAGAAAUGGUGAAUGGGACAGGAAAGGACGGCCUGAGUAUAAGGACCUCACAGUGGAUUACAAUGGGGAGAGCAAAUGCUUUAGUGGGCAAAGGACUCUGUCCUGGCUGCCCUCGAGGAUUAUGUGGCCUGGGAGGGGCACAGAAAGGAGCACAGAACAUAAAUAGUCAGGGCAUAAUAACAAGCCAGGUAGAGGUACCCACAGGCAGAAGGGCAGGGCUCACAUGAAAUGAAAAAGCAGGGAGCAGACAGAUUGCACACAGGACUUAGUGUUGAAGAAAAACAGGGCAGGGGCAGAUUCUGAAAUGAGCCGAGCUGACUGGAUUUGGUGCCGGGACUUCAUGCUCCUGGAUAAAGGGAGGUGUAGGGAGGUGUGGGGAGGAGGAAAGCCGGGGCAAUUGGAACAGUGAGCAUAUUUAAGGGGCUCUCACUGGGAAGUAGCAGGUUUUAGCAGUUCUAUGAGACCCUCCUGCAGAGGCCCAGGGUGAGAAGCAGGCGGGUAGUAGAGGUGCUGAUUCUAGGGAAAAAGAAAACAGUUAUGAUCAAAGCCAUGUUUGGAAGGGGUAAAAAAAGAUCUUUAUAAGAGAUGGGGAACACAAGAGAUGAAAGGGAGGUGAGUGACCAGUGGAAAGAUGCCCAGACAACGUGACAUGGCCUGAUUCCCAUGUAACCACAGGGUUGAGGGUGAGUCUUCAGGGAAUGGACCGAACUCAGGCAUGGAUUGCCACAGAGGAGUCCUGCACGUCCGGACACAUUCACUGCCUUCUGAUUGGCUCCUGGAGAAACGUCAGCAACAAGUAUUUACAGAUGAUCUCAGCAUCUCUUGCUCUCUCUGCAUUUCGUCAGUCUCCUGUGGUCGCACACUGAGAACAAAACUAGGAGUGAUAACAUGUGUGGUGAUUUCCAACUCUUCAGGGCACACACUUAAUAUGGGAGGUUCCUCUCUUCUCUGAAUCCAUAAGCAACCACACCAGUCCUCCCUGGUGCAAAAGACUAGUAAAACCAAAUGACCCUUAGAAGACAGCCAUAUUUUAUCCAACUCUUUGCUUCCCAGAUGGUAAUACCCAGACCCAGAGAAGAGACCUAACAUCCACCAAAAGUACAACCAUUCUGUCUACAGAACAGAAGAAACCAGUUUCUCUAUAGAGGCUUGCAUAUACCAAAAGUAAACAUAGCAGUUACUACCUCUGAGGUAUUUGUAGUCCCUAGAGACUCUUUCAGAGGGACUGAUUGCUUUCCUUAAGUGAAAUGGUUGAGGGAAGUUUUCUGGAGGAGGAUGCACAUUGGUAGUAUGUGUGGCCAGGACUAAAGAUGGACACUCAGUGGUGCUUAGAGUUGCUGUGAGGGUUGAAUAGUCUUGGGGCAACUGAAGAUGGUGUAGAAUAGCUGGAGAGGGAGGCAGAAUUCUGCUGGGAUUUACAAAGGUGGGGAUCAGGAAGUUGUGAACUAAAGCAAACAUGAAGAAGUCAUUUCUAUGGUGUGAUGUUGUUGUAAACAGUUAAAGUCAGAACCAGAGGUGUAUAGGGUGCCACAAAAGAGAGGUUUGGGGAACCUUCGUUUUUAGGCUUUUGGGGUAGCUGUUGACCUCUUGCAAAUUGUCAGCUGCGGUGUUAGUGUGGAAGCCCCACAAGUAACGCACAAGUGUGUGGCUGUGUCCUGUAAAACCGGCUGUAAAAGCAGGUGGCUGACUGCUUCAGGUGGUUUGAGUGCCUGAGGUUUCUGUCCUGCCUGGGGGAAGCAAGGCUGUGGCCUCCCAAAGAUUUGGGCAUACUGAGCUUGAGCUUGCAGUUUCUCUCCCCUAAAGCCUGUUAGAUGCAAAGCCAUGGGCAAAGGAGGAAAGACAACAGAGUCUCUGCUGUGCCUGGACCAACCUUAGUUUAAGCAAGGAGAUCACUGGGAGAUGACCUAGGUGGACCAAUGCAGUCACAGCUCUCUCUAGAGUGAGGAAGGAGAUGGGAGAAUUACAAGAGUUGGGAUCUCAGUGAUAUGAUUUGAGAAAGGUUUGAUUUGCUGACUCUGGGAUAGGAAAUAACUAGGAGCUAGAGUGUGUGCAUUCUCUAGAAGAUGCGAACACGAGAACCUGAGUGUUCUCUCAGACUCUCUAGGAAAGAGCACGGCUUGGCUGAAACCUUGGUGUGCGAUGCUUCAAUUCACCCUCACUGUGUCAUGCUACUUCAGUGACAGAAAAGGAACAACACCUUCUGGACCUUCUGAGCAACCCAAACCCCCACAGUGAAGGGUACAUUUCUACACCCCUUCAACCAUUAUUUCAAGCAGAGCAGGCUAGAGACUGGAGACAGGGAAAGCAGGGUGUUCCGAGUGUGAGACCUUCCUCAAAUGAAAGUCUCCAUAGGUACCACAGUCUAAGAAGCUCUGCAGUGCAGAGCUCCACAUACAAAGCUCCUAGGGGCUCUGGGUACAACAGUGAAGUGCAAAGUUGGAACACAUGCUCCCCCCGCAAAUCUCAGAGUGUGCAGCCAGCUGCCAGUAACUGGUCCUCACUCCCUAACCCACUAGCCUUAGGCCUUUCGCUGCACCCUGUCAUGCCAUGGCCCUAUUUUUUUUCAUGGUCAGUGUUAUUUGUUGCUUUUGAGUAUGUUGGAGAGAAAUGAUGACUGAAUACUGUUGAUGUUUGACAAGGACAUCAGCAGGCGAAUGGGAACAGGUGCCACCCAUACCUGAUCUUAGGGAAUGGCUUCUGAGGCAGUGGCUGCUGCUGCAGCUGCCACUCAUUGUGGAGGCCACUGGGGUUAAUGGCCUUUUCUGGAUCUUCUCUCAAGUCAUUGGUGAUGGCUUCAGGCAGACACUGUGGUGUAUCCUUGACACACGGAAAGCAUAAUAAAAUCAAAGACUGCCUCUGAGCACCAAACAAAGGACCUUAUCCUCCUUGGAUGGACAGUCAAGAGUGACAAAGUACCUAUUAGGUAAAACAAGUCAUGAUGUGAUAAUUUGACAAAUUUCUCAAAUGUAUAUGCUGUGUUAUCUCAAAUCACCCAGACAGCAGUGCUCUGAAGUGAGUCCUUGUGAGCCUGAUUUUAAAAAAAAAUGUAUUCUACAGACUGAGAAAUCCACAGAGGUUACAAUUGUAUAGCUAGUCCAAGGGACAACUGGGUCAUGAGCCCAGGUCUUCAGUUUCUCUGGAUGAAACUGAACCAUAGCUCAUUGCCACACCCCUCUUGUUUUCCUCCAUCACUUCUGAAAACUCAGAUAUCUUCUCCAUACUAAAUUAACACCAUCCAAAGUUCUAGUAACUGAAACAAGAUAAAAUUUCAGUGGAAGAGACAGAUCUGCCAAUCUAUAAAAUGUGACAAAACAUUGAAAUUUAGAGAUUGAUUAAAUGCCUCCUCUGACAAGGAUAUUAUUAAGACCUUCAUGUCUAACAUCUGAUGAAGUAGGUACUGUGUUCUCCAUUUUGCAACCAGGGGAACCUUUAGAAUACGAAGUGACCAGUAUGAAUUAUCAAUGAUCUCAUUUUCUCUCCAUCCAAGAUCCUCCAUGCUUAGCAUGGUACCUUGCUAUAGGCACCACCAGCACAAGGAGGGAGCCAGAAAGAGAUGAUUGACUGAAGGUUGCCACCACACAGAGAAAUAUCCUGGUCAUAUGAAGAUGUUCUUGGAGGUUGGUCUUUGGUUUAAACAUUGAAUUUUAAAAAUGAGGUGGCUUAGAAAUUCCACUUGCAAGUAUUUUUUCUUGAACAAAUUGGCUGCAAAACACUGGCCAGGGAUGCCAUGAGGAUGAACAUUUGAGAUCUGUUCCUAAAGAGGCAGUGUUGCUCUAUUUGCCCUGGGUGGAUAAGGCUGAAUCCUCUCCUGGGGAAAGAGGUCUUGCCUGAGAGUUGGGACAGCUGCUCCCUCGCUCUAUCACUAGUUCAUACUAGUGAGGUCUGUUUCUAAGCUGUAUUCAUAGAAGGCAAUUCAUAGAACUCUCUGACACUCCAUUAUUCCUUCAUUUGUCCAAGAAGUGUGGGAAAGCUCAGGGCUCACCUCUGGAGAGUGGUGGAGAGAUGAGGUCACCUUGUCUCUUCAGAAACUCUGCCACCUGAAGUCCUUUCAACCCUCAAGCCCUGUAUAUGCCUAAUUGUCACAUGCCACAUGCUGUCAUGUUCCAGAUCUGCCCUCUCUCACUAGUCUGGAAAUGGAUCUCUAAGUAAUGAAAUCACCUAAUGCUGGAAGGAGCUUGGCCAGUUCUCCGGGAAAUUGUCAGAGGCUUGCAUCUGCAGCACUAAAUGGCUGCUUGAAGCUGGGGUGCUGUUCGUAGCAUUAUGACUUACAGGAACCAACACUAUUUAUUAGGAUAAUUCUAUGUAUGGGGUGGUGUGCCAUGAGGGAGGCUUUCCCCCUCUGCUCACAAUUACCUACUCCUCUUGGCAAACGGAAGGAGUGUAAUUAUCUCCCUUCUCCAAAGAACCUGUGGCUACAGGAGGCUAAAUAACUCCUGGAGUCCCACAGCCACAGCGUGGGCGAGCCUGUUUUCCUACUCAGGUUUGGUGGACCCAAAAGGCACAGUCCCUUCUCCCUUGCUAGGCUCCAUGGGGCCUGUGGUGCUUUACCCACACGUUGACCUGAGGUGAACAUCUGACAAAGAUGCACAGCCGGGGGAACUCACAUUUAUUCUCACUGUACAAUUUGCAAAGUGCUUGCUCACAUCACGUCAUCCGAUUCUCCUAGCAGCCUGGAUAGUGAAGCUGAGUGUGAACUCAGUCUCACAGAAGAUGAAAUAGCAUCUGGGGAGGCUAUAACUUAGAGGCUUUGAAACCCCCCUCACUCUACUAAUCACACACUUGUCUAGAUUUCCAACCACCCAGGGACAUCAUUUUCCUGAACAUUUUGUCUUGUGUCUUUAAGGAUAUUCAGUUAUUUAUAUUUCUAUUGCAAGAUGGCUAGCUGAGGGCCUUCCCGGACAGAUAUACAGAACAGCAGCUGUUGUUUCCUUAAAACUUUCCCCCGGGACUCUGUGCACACAAUUUCCAAACAACUAAGAAUAGUAUGGUGAAUCCUAAGGUCCUGUAUCUUCGUGAUAAUAGUUUUCUUUUUUUAAAAUGACAGAGCACCUUGAACCCUUUCCUGAGUUUGAAGCUGGUACAUGAACGGUGCUAGAUUUUGUGCCAUCUUUUCUGACUGUAAAGCCAUAGCAGUUAUAGUAUCAUAGUGUACAUCGUGUGGAGCUUGUGCACAGUAUUUGAUGGGGUUAAUGAAGAAGCUGUAAUUAAGUAUUUUCAUUAAAUAUUAGCUGUUUGGUAUUGUAUUAGGUAAGGACAUUCUCAUGGAAGUAUAUCUCCCCCUUACCCUCCACUAGGCCGUUCCUCUGCUCAGGAACGUUCCUUCUUCUCAUCUUCAUCCUUCCUAGAUAGGCUGGCUUAUACUUUAAUAUUGAAAAUAUGUACAUGAUUUUAGUCUACAAGAAAUCUUGGAACUACAUAUGAGAGAAAACGUGUAAUAUUUGACUUCCUAAGACUAGCUUAGCUUACUUAAUAUUAUCUCCGGUUACAUCUGUGUCCCUGAAAACAUUGUAAUUUUGUUCUCUAAAAAACUGAGAAAAUCCCAUUGUAUAUUUGAGGACAUCUUCUUUAUUCACUUCUGUGUGGAUGGACACCUAGGUUGUUUCCAUAACUUAGCUGUUGUGAAGAGUGCCACAGUAAACACUGAGAUGCAAGUGUCUCUGGGAUGUGCCUGCCAUGAGCAGUUCUGCUGUAUCAUAAGUCAGAUCUAGCUUUCAUUUUUGUGAGGAGCCUCCAGACUUAUGUCCAUAGAGCCUGGGAAGUUUAUGUUCACAUCAGCAGUCCAUAAAUCCUCACCAGCAUUUAUUAUUAUUUUUUUCCUUAUGACUGCCAUUCUGGCAGGGGAAUGUGCCUGGAGCCCUACAGAGGCCAGAGGAGGGUGUCGGACAACCUGGAACUGGAGUUGUAGACAAUUGAGGGACACCAUGUGGUUGCUGGGAAUCCAACCUGUGUCCUCUGGAAGAGCAACUAGGCAUCUUAACCGCUGAGCCUCUUUCCAGUUCCAUCAAUUCAGUUUUAAUGUUCAUUUCUCUGAUGACAAGUGAGGUCACAGUUUGUUUGUUUAUGUCUUUAUUAAUCAUCUACGUUUUAUGGGUUCAUUAUCCCAUUUAUUGACUGGGUUGUUUAAUGUCAUGUUUCACAUUUUUUUGCCUUUUGUAUAUUCUAGACACUAAUCCUGUGUCAGAGGUAUAGCUGGCAAAGAUUUCUCUCCCAUAUCGGGCUAUCUCUUCCCUUCACCAUUUUCUUGCUGUGCAAAAGUUUUUAAACGUCAUGAGGUCCUGUUUGUCAGCUUCUUGAAAUGAAUUUCCUGAGCAACUGGGAUUUUAUGCGGGAAGUCCUUGCUCUGCUAGGUUGUGAAGUGUUUUCCCUAUUUCCUUCUAACAGUUGGAGAUUUGGGUUUUGAAACAAGAUCUUUGAUCCACUUGGAGCUGACUUUUGUGCAAGGUGAGAGAUAAUGGCAGUUCCAUUUUUUAUAUUUUAAUUUUUAUUGCAAAUUUACACACAGUAUUUUUAGAAUUGCAAGGAGUAACAGGACAAAGGGAAAUCCUUUUUUCAUUAAUUAUUAAAUCUUAAAAUAUAAUUUAUUAUCUCUAAUAUUAACCAAACUUGCAAUCUAUAGUUAUUUUAGAAUAUAAACAAUAAGAUAUCUGUAUAGCUAUGUAAAUUGUUCAGGAUUAUACUUCAUUGACAGAGGCCAAAACUAACCUUUCUGCAUGGCAAUGCCAAGAACCUACCAAAGAGGAAGAGAAAAGAAAUGUCAUUAAGGAGCUGAGCGUUAGUGCCUGUGAGGCAAAGUAAAAAAGGGACAAUGACAGCAGCAUGUCCAAUAGAAACGAUGUGCAUCCAAAAUUUAUUUAAUAGCAGUAAAUUAUUGUGAAUAACGGCUUCAGAGACAAAAUAUCUAAAUCCAACUCCUGGACCUCAAAACUAUUAGCAAUGGCUUUAUACAAUACAUUUCAUUCCCAAGUCUGUUUCCUCAUUUGUAAAACUCAGUAUUAUCAAGUCAUGCCACAAUGUGCUUAGUCCUGCUGAGACUUGAUGUGUUAGCGUGGGUUGGUACCCAGGGGGGCUUCUUCUUCUCUGAAGAGAAGAGAAGGAGGUAAGGAACAGACAGGUUUGUUAGGGUGGGAUUGGGAGUGGGACUGUGAUCUGGAUAUAUGGUGAAUGAAUAGAUGGAUGGAUAGAUAGAUAGAUAGAUAGAUAGAUAGAUAGAUAGAUAGACAGACUACGGUACUUACUGGCAAUUUCAUCUUUUACAGGAUAUCCAGUUCAGGAGCUCUAUCUGAAAAGACUGUCUUUUCUCCAAAGUAUAUUCUCGACAUCUAUUUCAGAAAUUAUGUACUUGUAUGGAUCAUUCUAUUCCAUUGAUCUACAUGUUUCUGUGCCAGUGCUGUUUUAUUAUAAUUAUGUAGUAUAACUUGAAAUCAGGUAUAGUGACACUUCCAGAAGCAUGCUUGGCCCACGAUUGCUUUGGGUAAUUCUGUGUGUGUGUGUGUAUAUAUAUAUAUGUAUAUAUAUAUAUAUAUAUAUAUAUAUAUAUAUAUAUAUAUAUAUAUAUCUGACAUAAAAUUUAAAAUGGUUUCUGCGAAGAAUGGUAUUGGUGUUUGAUGGAUACUUUACUAAACUUUGACAUUGUGUAAUGUAAGUUGACCAUCUCUACACUGUUUAAUAUAAAUUAGCCAUCUCUACAUUGCUUGAUAUAAGAUGGCAUCUCUCCAUUGUUUUAUGUAAGGUGGUCAUCUCUAUAGUAUUCAUUUUCUACUCCAUAAGCACUGAAGGUAUUUCCAUUUUGUAGUGUGUUUCUCAGUCUCUUUCUUCAGCAUUUUGAAGUCCCCAUUAUAACAGUCUUUCAUUUCCUAGGCUAAUUUAUUUGAAGGUUUUAUUUUAUUAUUUUUAAGCUGUUAUGAUUGGGCUCAUUACCAUGAUUUCUUUCCCAGCACGUUUGUUAUUAGUCUAUAGAAAGUCUAGUGAUUUUUUUUUUGUUUCUUAAUUUUAUAGCCUGACAUUUUCUUGAAAGUAUUUGUCACUAAGGAUUUUUGUGGAGUCUUUAUGGUCUCCUUGCAUAGCAUCCUAUCAUCCACACAUAAGGACGCUUUGACUUUUCCUUUUGCUCUGCAAUUCUUUUAUUUCUUUCUCUUGUUUGACAGCUCUAAAUAAAACUUCAAGUACUAGUGGAAUAAAGGUAAAGGGAGCAGACAUCCUUGUCUUACUGUUGAUUUAAUGGGAAAACUGUGAGUUUUCUCCACUCCAUAGGAUGUUAGCACAGGUUUGUAGUAUCUAGCUUUUAUUAUGUUGAAAUAUGUGCCUUCUACUCUUAGUCUCUCUGGGGCUUUUAUAAUGGAGAACAGUUGACUUUAUCAAAAGAGUUUUCUGCAUCUAUUGAGAUGACAUAUGAUUUCUGUCCUUUAGUCCAUUUAUUUAUAUUUGCUAAUAUAAUUUAUUACUUUUAUUUUCCUAUGGAAUAAAAGCUAGCUUGAUCAUGGUAAAUGAAUUUUUCUGUGCUUUUGAAUUUAUGAUAUGAGUACUUUAUUGGAAUUUUUAUACCUAUGCUCACUAGGAAGUCUGGUCUAUAAUUUUCUUGUGUUCCUAUAUUACUAUCUAGUUUUGGUAUUAGGGUGAUACCUGGCCCUCAAAACUAUCUGUGCAUGUUUCUCCCUUCCCUAUUUUAUGGAAUAGUUUGACAAGUAUUUCUGUUAGUUCUCCUUUGAAGGUUUGAUAGUAUUCAGCAGAGAAUCGUUCUGGGACUGGGCUUUGGGUUGAGAAAUUAAAAGUGGCUUCAAUCUUAUUGCUUGUUGUAGAUCCAUUUAACUUAUUUGUAUCAUCCUGGUUGAUUUUUCCAGGCAUGUGCCUCUAGAACUUUAUGUUUUGUUCUGAUGUUGGCAUGUGUUUGCUAUGUGUGUUCUUCGGCCUAUUCUGUGUUUAGCAAUUAUGGCUGAACUUGUUUUCUUAAUUCUUUUCUAGGAAUAUUUUUAUUUCCUUCUUGAUUAGUCAUUUAACAGUAUGUUGCUCAACCUCCACAGAGUUGCAUGUGCUGCUCUUAGUUUCUGGUUUUAUUCCAUUGUGCUCAGAAAAAUACUAGAAAUGAUUGCAGAUACAUUUGCUGUGAACAGCAGUUUGAGUUGGCAAUUAUUACCUUUCAGAGUUUGAAAUACAUCAUUGCAAGCCCUCCUGGAUUUUAAACUUUCUGUCAAUAAAUCCGCAGUUAUUCUGAGGGCACUGCCUUUGUAUGCUGCUUGGUAUUGUGUUCUCUUGAAAUUCAUUUGGGAGCUUACUUGAUUUUCUUAAAUAUAAUUAUAAUAAUUGUUUAAAUUCUUUGACAUUUCAUCGAAUAUACUCUUAUUGGAAGAUAUGGCUGUGGUGUUAGUCAUUUUUUGAGGCGCCAUCGUGUCUUAAUUGUUUACGUUCUUUGUGUUUUUGUGCUAUGACUUGUGCACUCGAGGUCACACUAUUUGUUGUCUUUUCUUUGCUCUUAUUCUUUCAGUGAUAGUGUUUGAAUUCUCAGGAAAGAUUAGCUUGUAAUAGCAUUGAUACACCAUUUUUCUCUGCUUCGCUUACGUUUGGUGUGCUAAGUUUAGUGCAUCAUACUGUCUUCAAAAGCACUCUGUGUGGAGCCCAUUUAAGGAAAAGAAAAUCCAGGUAGGGUGAUAUGCAUCUAUCAUCAUAGCACUUUAUACUGAGAUGGGAGUCGGGGACAGGAGAAUCACUCAAAGAUUCAUGGGUCAGCUGGCCUGAAGAAUGCAGAAUGGCAGAAACAAGGAAGAUCCUCACUGAACAGGGAAGGCAGGAACUGACUUCCACAAGUUGUUCCCUGACCCCCACAUGUAGUCCAUAGCAUGCUAAUGCAUGAGUGCACAGACAAUAGAUUUAAAAUUAGCAAUCACUGUCAAAGAGUGCCUUUCUACAAACAUACAAUAAUAAUGAAAUAACAAAUAGUUACUCCUUAAACGCUAAUCUUUUUAGGGUGUAAAGGAAUGCUGGUAGUACACUGUACAUUAAGAUGCUACUUACGAGUUAUGAGUGGGAAAGAAGAAACAGAGUUAGACUUGGGGUUAGUAUUGAUGGGUAGAAAAAAAUCAGGGAGGGAAAAGUAAACAGAAGUGGGAAACACCAGGGACUGGGGAGGAGGGAAUUUCAGGUAGAGUGGAAAGAGAAUGCCAUCACGUAGUCCAGGCCUCAGGGGGCUGAGACAUAGCGAUCCCACAAACCCACAUACACUGGUGUACGCCUUUUGGAAAAGCCCAUUAAAAGGGUUAACAGUUGUAAAAGGGAAGAAUAGAAUUUUAAUAAGAAAGAGAAGAGAGAGCAAGAGAGACACAUAGAGAAGAAGAGAGAGAAGAAGAGAGACCGACAGAGCAGAGCAGGACUGAGCUUGUCCUGCUAACUGACACUAGGUUAAAUAAAGAAGAAACUACAGGGGGGAAAAGGAGAGAGUAGGCAGAGUAGAGAGUCUUCAGGAGGCCUUGCUUGCUUGAUUAAUGUAGCCUAGCUCUUUGGACGUUCCUUCAUGGGCUGCCAGGUGUCAGUGACACUCCUAGGCAAUCAAGUUGCAGCUACUGGUCACACCUUUGGGAAGUCUGUGUUGCAAAAGUUAUUGUUGCCUGUAGAGGUUGUCUACAAAGUCAAAGGGUAGCCAUGAGCACUGUUUUCACUGGUAGACUGUCCUUCAAAAGUCAGGCCAUGGAUGUGAUGAUGAGCCCUCUGAGUAGUUCUACAGGAGUCCAGUGCAAAUGUUGUUUUCACCCCUAGAUAGUGCUUUGUGAGACCAAGUUUCAGAGGUCACUCGUCUCCUCUUCAGGGAUCAUGUUGCAAAUGCCAGCCCUACCUUAAGGCAGUGCUUUGUCUGGCCCACAACUCAGACUCUGAGUCCAUGUUGCCCUGCAGAUUUUGGCUCUGAUAAAUUCCCACCUUCCCAAACACUGUGUGGCUUUGAUUCAGUUCUUUCCCUGAAGUCUUGAGGUAUUUUGCCAGUCCUGUUCCAGCAGAUAGUUUCUCUGAGUUUUCCACUAGUAUAGUUCACCGAAGUCUGUGGCCCCGAGCCUCUGACUCACCAGCAAACUUCUAAAAAUGCUUCUUGUUCCAGUUUUCUGCCAAGAGGACAGGCUUUUUCUAGCACCUCCCCACCCUCUGCUGCAGGUGUGAUUUUUUUCCCUCCGUUUUGUCUGUCUCUUGUACUCUUUAAAGUAUCCGUUACUGAGAGUACAGAGCUGAGUUUCUGAGGCUCUAAGUCUAAGGUGUGGUUGCAGACCUUUUCUCUCACUGGACGGGGGCUCCCCAGACCAUCCUACCCUUCCCCACUGGAUGGGGGCUUUUCACUGGGUUACUUUAUUUUUUCUAUUAGAGAAGGUGACCACUACUUGGAAGUGACUAAAUUAAUCAACACAAUUGCCAUGUGCAGUAACAGGGAUAAGCCAGAGCAUAAAUGUAUGACAGAAGAAGCCAUACUCUAAAACGAGUGGCAAAGCUAUAUUAUUCAAUUUUUGCAAUGUUCUGAAGAGGCAAAAAAAACUGAGCUAUGACAUUAACAGUCAACUAGUGAUUAGCCUGGUAAGGUUGGUAAGCAAGCAAAUAAGCAAACAAAACCAGUCAAGGUUUCUAUCGGGCAGGCCGUGCUCCAGCUGUCAGUUAAGUUACAGAUUAUGUGAUUGUACGUAAAUAAUAGAACUCCUGACUUCUACAGCUGUGACUUCUGGGAGGUUCUCUCUGCACGUUUACUAUAUUUUGACUGUGGUUUGAAUAUGGCCCAAAGAGUUCAUGUCACCAAAGUGAAGUCUUUGGGUGAGGCUUAGAAGGAGGAAAGUAAGUCAACAAGGGCACUGUCCUCAGAAGGCAUUCCUGUAGGUAUCACAGCUAGUUCUAUUGACAGGGUUAUUAUAAGAGAGAAUGUCGACCCACCAUAAUACCAUCUGUUUUGAUUUAAUGGAAAAAAACAAGAGAACCAUUGUUAUAGAUGGCACCAAGUUGCUUGGACUUUCUAUCCCCAAACGUGUAAGCUGAAUAUAAAAGGCUAUUUCCCAUACCUACUGAUCAGUGGUGGGUAUUUUAUUAUAGCAAUGGAAACCAGACUGUCAUAGUGUUGUUUCAAUAGAAAGCUUAUGGGAAAAGACAAACUAUUCUGGCUCCUUGGGCUUUUGCAUUUGUUACUAUUAUCAUGUCAAUUUUUUUCUCCUGUCCCUGCUGUUAUCCAUUGGAGUUUUUAAAUGAAGCAUAUUCUAUCUCUCAUUUUUAAAUUUUCCACUAAAUUUCAAUUUCAUUAUCUAAUUUUUCCUAUUAUUCAUGGCUGUUGAAAAUAAGAUUGUGUUCCAAAGAGGAUGUUCUGUCAUUUACAGUGUGAGUGUCUCCAAGUAAGCAUCAUUCAUUUUGAAUUUGAGUGUCCCUACCUAUAAUACUGGGGCAAUAUUAAAUGAAAUGAUAUGGUGAAAGGUCAGAAGAAUGCCUCAUAUAAACAUCAUCUUGGUCCUAGUAUGACUUCAUUUUCUCAACACCUUCCCUACACAUUCACUCAGUCUGUUUAGCUCAUUAUCUAGUAUGAAUUCCACUAGAUUUUUAACAGUAACUAAAAGGCAUACAAACAAACAAGAAAGCUUUAAUGUUAGGGCUCAAAUCUAUGUAUGUGUUUUGUAUUCAAGUUGAAGAAGGGAGGGCAUUUGUGACAGCUAAUUGGGAUAGUUAACUUGAUUGGAUUAAGAACUGCCUGGUAGAUUAGUGAAGCACAACUCCGGAUGUGUCGGCGAUGUCCCCCAUAGUAUCUGACAUGUGCAUACUUGGUUCCCAGUUGGGAGUGCCAUUUGGAAGGUGUGGUUUUGCAGGAGGAUGUUUGUCACUGGAGAGAGGCCAAUCAAUGGAUGGCAUUACUGGGAGAUGGGUCCAGGUUAAUGGAAGCAGCCAAUGAGUCCUUAGGGUAGUAGCAUACUCUUGCCCCUUCUUGAUUUUCCUGUCUCUAUGAUUGACAUCCACUGUGGUGGAAAUAGCAUCCUUGAGCAUACCUCAUGUCACAAUAUCAAAUGUGUGGGGCCCAGCAGCCUUAGAGUGAACCCCGCAGAAUUAUGUCCUAAGAUAAAAGGUCCUAUGAGGUAUUUUGUCCUAAGUACCCAAAAUUUCUACAAAGAACCCUCAUCAAUUUAAGAAUUUUUGAGAACCCCUGCCAUUUCCCCUCAUUCUUUUUUCUUUCCAUAAUGGAAAAGCAUUAAGGACUGGAGGGCCAAUCAAACUUUCUCACAGAUGAACUCCUUUAACCUCGGCAGGAUUUGACACACAGUUUCGUCAUCUAGCCACUGUUUCUCAACAGUUAUUAUCAAAACAUUUACAGUGUUCACAAACUUCCACCCCCACUUUGGACUUCUUACUUUAUCCAAGGAAAGAUGUCCCGGAGAAGGCAAAGGUCCUUUAAAUCCCUUCUACUUCCCUCUUCAUGCCUAAAUGAAGGCCUUUCUCAACCCUACUUCCCUGGCUCCUCCAGUCUUUGUGUUGUUCUUGCUAAUUGCUUGUGUGUUCUUCCUCAUAUGUCCCAUUUCUCUUUGACCUGGCUCUUUGACCUGCAAGCACACUUGUGCUCUUUCAUCCAGCUCAACCUAAAAGUCUCCCUAUUGCCCUGCUUCUAUCACAUCCUAUCCCUCUCCAUUGAUUGCCACCUUCCAGGCAAGCUAUUUCAGGUUGUUUCUCCUUCCUUUCUAGCCUCUCAUGUAAAUAUUUAUAAACUUUAUGUUCUCAAUAUUCAAUUGUAGCUUGCUCUUUUCCACUUGCUCCAAGUUUGACUUACAUAAGUUGUAUCUCUCUACCCUACUCUCCUUUCUGAUGUUAUUGUCACUUAGAUGUCUCAGACCUGUGAUGCUUACAUGUCAUCAAAAUACCAAAAUGUCUAUAUUUCCAACCAAGCACUUCAGCUUACCAUAAAAAUGGAAUCACAAGACAUGUGGUUGAAGGAAAGUGUUUCCUACAGAAAAAACAAGACACUGAUUUCCCAAGUCAUUAGCUCACUGAUAACAAGCAAGCAUUUAUUUUCUGGAUUUUCAUUCAUGUGAAACAAAGGACUGGGCAUCACCGUGAUAAAUUCUCUGGCUACAAAAUUCUAUUAUGCAGUGUUUAGGAAUAAUCAAUAUCUCAUUUGCUGAUAAUCUAUCCCAUUCUUCUCUUAUCUUCUAUAUUUUUAUUGACAGCUCAUGCUUUAAGUGUGACAUUAUAUUCACUUCUUUGAAUAGU